rnacentral:rRNA from 1 species
UACGUAGGGCGCGAGCGUUGUCCGGAAUUAUUGGGCGUAAAGAGCUCGUAGGCGGCUUGUCGCGUCGUCCGUGAAAACCCACGGCUUAACUGUGGGCUUGCGGGCGAUACGGGCAGGCUGGAGUUCGGUAGGGGAGACUGGAAUUCCUGGUGUAGCGGUGAAAUUCGUAGAUAUUAGGAAGAACACCAGUGGCGAAGGCGGCUCACUGGGCAGGUACUGACGCUGAGGUGCGAAAGCGUGGGGAGCAAACAGG